AAAAUUAAAAAAAUAUCAUAGAGUUACAUAAUAUAUAAUACUAAAAUGAAAAUUAUAUAUUUAAAACAUUUGUAAUAAUAUCAAAUACAUUUAUAAAAUAAAAAUAUAUGCACAUAUGUGCGGGAUAUAAUCUAGUUUUUCAUUAAGAGAAAGGAUAGUGGAAGUGAAAAAUCUUGUUUCAUUAUUAUUUCAUUAGGAUUUGGAAAUAAAAAAUAAUUUUGCAGAAAGAAUGAAAGAAAGAAAAAAACCCAAUUUGUUUACGAGAAACCACUAUAAAUCAAUUAAUCUUGAUUAUAAUUCUCCAUUAAAAAAAAAAAGACCCAUAUGAAAUAUCAGUAGUAACCAAGUUGCUUUGGGCUAGUGGUAUAGGAGCUCCAGCUAGAGUGUCCGCCCCUGGGUUCGAGCUUUGGCCACUGCGGAAUUUACAUGUGGGCUGUAGCAUCCGAGACCGAAGACCGUUACACGGUGAGCCACAUGGUGACGCCUUGGCAGCGUCCAUGCUCACUUCGGUCUCUAGUCUGCACCACCUCGGCGGGGCCAGGAUAUUCGGUUAGCAAAAAAAAAAAAAAAAAUAUCAGUAGUAACUCAUGUCACGUGAUCGAUGAAAAUAUUUCAUUCAAUUAGAAAAAUAAUGCUGUUCACGUGCAGUGAAAAUAACCAAUGCCUUUUUGUGUGUUUCUCAAUUUAUCCACGUCUAUUUAUAAAUAAAUCCUCAAUCCUGAAUACAUUGGUUUUCCCGUGGCCGGUCUUGGAACAAAGACAAAGAUUGAACUCUAUUUUUUUUUACAUAAGAGGUUGUUUUUGGCAUGUUCUUUUUUGUUUCUAUAAAUUUUAAUGUUAUAAUAAUACUGACACUUCUUAAAAGCCACAAAGCCUCGCGUCUGUCUUCUCCCUCCGGGGGUUGGACAUGUACGUGGUGGGUACAUCUCGGCAUGUGGUGGGUGAGAGAACUGAGAAGUCGCAGGGGUGUUUUAAUCAUUUAGCGAUCUGUAGGAGUACAACUUCUCAAAAAGAAAUGUAAUUUUAUCACAGCUAGGACAUCCAUUUUUUUUUGUUCAACGACAUCCAAAUUUAUAUAAAAAUAAAAAUAUGUAUGUUUAUCUGACUAAAAGGGCAACACACAUGAAAAAAUAUAUAUACAUCGAAAACUACAUUCCAUCUAAAAACGUGGUGGAUAUAUCUAAGGAUUUGGUUGAUAAUCCACUUCCGAAGCAAAGUUUAUCCGAUCUCUAUGUAAUAGUUUGUAAGAUAUUAAUAAAAGAAAAAAGAGUUUGAAAAUGUAACAAUGGUUCACUAAGAGCUUUAUAAACCACUAAAAAUAAAGAGAUUUUGAUCAACAUCAUAGGUAUGAAGGAGAGAUUUUUAAGACAUUUUCUAAGGUCACAAUCCACAGUGAUAUAUGACGCAUAAUUGUAUUUAUAAACUUGUAAAAAUUUCAAACACAUCCCUUAUAUAUUAAUGCGCAAAUCGUCUAACUAAUUAAAUAAUGACAUGUGGAAAAUUUGACAAAACAGUAAAUAAAUAAAAACAAUUAAAAAGAAAAAAUAGCAAAAGCAAAACAAGUUAAAAUUUUCAAAUUACUAACUUUUUAUAACCUCCUUCACAAAGACAAAAUAUCCAUUACUGUAAAAGUUCUGUUCAUAAGUUUUACGUUACGUUAACUGUUAGACGUUUAACGUAACCAACACUACAAGCUGGAAGAAUGAAGAUUCUCAAUCCAUGGUGUUCAAAGAAAAAAAAAGAUUCUCAAUCCAAAAAAUAUAAGAAAAACGAAGAAUACAACCGCAACAUCAAAAGGCAAAACACAAUCUGUCACAAUGAUAAAUGAUUUUAAUUACACUACCAAUGAUGAACAUCAUUAAAAUAAAAUAAAAAUAGUUUGAGAUAAUAAAAACACAAGAAAAAAAUAGGAAAGAAAGAUGCAAGAAACAUGUUUCAGAGUUACGUGUCAAUUUACAUAGUUACUAGAUAAAAUAAAAAUAAAAAAUUUACUUCACCUCGCCGUCCAUUAUUCUUUCAGCACCUCCACGAUCACCAUUUAGUUUUUAGUCAUAUAUUCUAUUAUUUAUAAGAUUAUUCCAUUACUCCACAGUUCAAAAGAUCUCUCUUUUGUUUUCAUCUUUCUUCUUCAUUUUUCAUUUUGUGCUCGAGUGUAGCAAAAAAAAUCUAUGCAAAUGUCUUGCCUAUAUAUUCAUAUUUAUUUGUUUCUUUCUCAGUUUAACAAUUUUAGUGCUCUCUAAUUCUUUCUACAUGAUUCAGGUUGAGAGGUUGAAGAUGGUAGUUCUCCUAUUUCAAAAACUUAAUUCCUUCAAAGAAGAAGAAAAAGAAAAUUCAAAACGUUGUCAGCAACUUAGGUAACAGUAAGUAUGUCUUAAUUUACUAUAUACAAAUUGAUUAUUUACAGAUCUUUGUUUUUUUUAUAACAGAACAUAUUCAACUAUUUUCAGUAAAAAAAAACAUAUUCAACUAUUUUUUCAAAUAUGUUUAUGAAUCUAUUAUAUACAAGUUGACUAUUUUAUACAUGUUUUCUUUCUUAUCAUUGAAGUUCAGGUUGUUGAUGACUGUAGAGGAAAAGGAAAACGAUGGAGAAGAAUCUUAAAACGCAAGUUCAAACAAAAUAUUCAGAAAUGUAUUUUUUACUUGGCCUUUUAUAUUUGUCAUGUCAAAAGUAACCGAGUUGGUAAAAGAACUGGCUUAGUCUUAGUGUCUUUUCCCGUUUGCUUAUAUUAGAUUUUUUUGUGACUAUUUAUUCCGUGAUGGAAAAUAAAAGUUUCAUUAUAAAACAUACGAACACAGAACACAAGGUAGUGACAUUACAGAGCACCAAUGUUCUCAAGGCCGAGCACAACUCCGACGCCGAUGAUGUGUCCUACGUUGCCGGCGAGCAUCUACCGGCUUCUUUGGAGAUCACAGAAAUCGAUUCUGUUUGGGCUAGAUAAGGUUGUCGAGGAAUGCACCUCAAAGAGUAAGGCCCAUCAGGCACUUUAGUGCUAUUACUCUUUGAAGAAAACAAAAUUGUGAAUUAGCCCAAAUAUUAUAUUUCGUUCAAAAAUUAACUAACCCAUGUUAUGGAUAUAUACUAUAUGUGAAGCCACUUCCACAAACCAUAUUUGAACUGUUCGGUAAAGAUCAUAGUCGGAACUUGUUGAGAAUAGCACGCAUAUUAAACUCGAAAAAGCAAGAAAUUAGAGAGUACACUUGACUGAGACAAACUUUUGUAUCAAUGAUGUCAACAAUAAGUUAUAAACCUCUAGACAUGUACUUAUAAGCCUCAAAUCACAGUUUUCUAUUUCGACCAAAAAUGAGUUUCCUAAUCGAAUAGAGUACUAUAUCGUGGGAGUCUCCUACCUUGACUUUUUACUAUUUUACUAGUAUGUCGAAAUUUAAUUCUCAGCAAGUGUAAGAGAGCUACUCGGGUUGUUCGUUUCUUCAUUCAAAUGAUCCAUUCGAAUGGAAAUAGACUUUUUGUUCGUUUAGACACAAAAAGUACAACUCAUUCGGAUGGUUCAUUUGAAUGAUUUUCGAAAAAUUAGGUUUAAUUUCAAAAACCAGUUGAAUGAACCGAAUCGAAUUAUUUGGCUGGAACUGGUUCAGUCAAAAUGCUUAAAAGUAUAUAUUACCCCUCAUAAACUUCUGAAGUAACAAACCUAAUUAUCCAAGUCUCACUCUCGUAUCUCUCUCACCUCUCUCAAUGCCGUCAAUCUCCACAUCUCGUAUCUCUCUCGCCAUGAAAGCCGCUGGAGCUUGAGCUCUCUCCGCCUCUCUCUCUCUACCUCUCCGCCUCUCUCUCUCAGCCUCUAUCUCUCCGCCUCUCUCUCUCAGCCUCUACCUCUCCGCCUUUCUCUCUCACCGCAUCUCUCUCUCGCUACAUCUCUCUCUCUCGAGUAUCUCUCUAAGUCUCUCUCGAUUUUUUGUUUUUCUUCUGUUUGAAGUUCCUCUGUUCAUUGAUGGGUUUGAUUGUUCUCUGAUUUAUGAAUGAUGAAUGAUGGGUUUGUUUGUUCUCUGACAUUGAUUCUUCUGUGAAUUAUGAAUGAUGGGUUUGAUUGUUCUCUGACAUUGAUUGUUCUUUUGUGAAUAUCUUUAUCUCACUAGUAGAAUCUCAUAGCUUGUGAAUUAUGAAUGAUGGGUUUGAUUGUUCUUCUGUGAAUUAUGAAAAAUGGGUUUGAUUGCUCUAUGACAUUGUCUCUCUCUUCAACUUGCUCAUAAACCAUAUGACAAGAAGCUACUGAUCUUCAAGAGUAUUCUAACGCAAAGCUUGAGAAGGUUACUCGUGGAGCAUUGAGAAGUUUAGUGGUGCUCUGUCCCUUAAGUGGUGCUCACUGAUUUUUUGAUUCAGCACUGUUUGAAGCUUCCUUGCUAGUUUGAUAGUACACUUUUAAAGAUGUGGUGUAUUGGUUUCUCAAACAGAUGAAUAUAAAACUGUGCUUAGCUGUCCUUUAAGAUGUUUAUUUUGUUUUGGCUACCGUCUUUUCCCUUCAAGUUUGGUAGUCAUGAUUGGUUUGUCUUGAAUUUUAAUUCUUGCUACGACCAGUUUGGUCUUGAAUUUUAUAUUGAAAUAAAGCGUUAAAAAAAGUUGUGCUUAGCUCUCGUUUGUCUUGUUUAAGCUUGUCUAGUUUCUUAAACUAUUCCACUGACCAUUGGAACUUUAUUCUCUUGUAGAUACUUGUUGCAAUGACCUCUGUCCCUGGUACUGAUAUAAGUACAUUUUUAACUGAAUGCUUCUCUUAGUUUAGUUAGGUUCUCCUAUUAAAUAUUUGUAUAUCCAAAGUCUCUUGCAUGGACUGAUGAACAAACCCGGUUCUAUCUACAACUGAGAAUUAGCUGAAAGGAAAUGACAGAAAGCAAAAUAUCAAUGAAGCUGGGAGACAGUCCAUCAUUGACAAAUUCUAUGAAGCUUAUGGGGAAAGACAUCCUUGGAAAAAAUUUGGGAUCAAACACACUACUUGCAAGACUCAGUAUACUAAAUACAAGCGGCUGAUUCACAAGAGAACUGGCCUUGGCUAUGAUCCAUUUGGGUUCAUAGACAUGUCAGAUGACUGGUGGAAUGAACUUUUUAAGGUAUACAAUUGUCAGUUGGAUGGAGAUGACAAAUGGAGAAACGAACAGCCCCACUAUCAUCUUUUUAUUCAAGUUCAGCUUAACCUUUUGAGUGUGUUGUCGAGGGACUUCUCCAAAUUUGUAUUACAAAAUUAACAUUUUAUGAAAAAAAAAACACUUAUGGUCAA